rnacentral:lncRNA from 1 species
GUUGGAAUGGGAAAGAUAAAGAGGGCUAUUUUCAGCUUCCAGAAAUGGAGGAAUUCAUGUGCGUACCAUAGAACAAGAAAAGUUAGAGAGAAAACUGUCAGCUCUCAGUUUCCAUAAAUUGGGCAUAACCAAAUUGAAAACACAGUUUAACAGUGGACCAGCUGAUGUGGGAAAGGCUAAGAGUAGAGCUUUCCUAGGAGGUUAACUAAAACUGUAUACCCAGCCCACUGAGGUGGCUUGUUCCGGGGAGAUCUCUAAAGGCUUUAAACCCAUGAACAGGCGCUAUAGGAAGAUGGCUCAGGGGAACUCUGCGGGCUCCCUGCUGGACCUCUUUAUGCUAAUGAGGCAUGCCUCUUAAUCUGCUUCCCAGAGACUUCCAAAAUGAAGGUGUGAUAAAUCAACAACAGGUGAAUGGGAGAAGAUAUUCAAAGCCAGAGAGAAGGGUGGAAGCCCCAGCAAUUUCUCUGUCUUUCCAUGAUGCUAUACUAUCAAGCUCCCUUCAGCUCUCUUGUUUUCCUGUGAACUCCAGCAUCAUUUGUUGGCUAAAUCAUUUAUGUGAUGCCUGUAUACUCUCCCUUGAAGAGCUGUUUUUAUUUUAACAUUUAUUCUUCUCACAUCCUCUAUAUUAUAAACUCCUUGUGAAAAAAACCUCAUAUUUCAUCUCUGUAUUCUAAAUAACUUGCACCAUGAGUUUUUAAAUUGUAUGUGCUUAAUAUAUUAUUGCUGUAUUUGAAUCAAGAGUAACGUGGGGUUGCAUAUCUUAUAAAAAUGAAAGACUUGUAUCCAAAAUAUGUAAAGAAAUCUUAAAAUUCAUCAAUAAAAAAAAUCAGCCCAAUAAGAAAUGGGCA